UCAACCCCAUGGCCGAAUAUAGCAAGGAGAAACCAUGGCUAGGGUUUUUCAAGCUUCCAAGCUCGAUUAGCGAGGAAAACUGAAAUUCGGGCUAAAAUGGAAAAAUACCAAGUUGUGGAUGAAAUGGUAAAAGUAGCCAUUUUCGCAUACGAGUUUUGAACAAGCCAGCUCGGGAAUCGGGACGGGUCGAAGGUUCGAUCACACUAUCCAAAGGACUUUCAUCGGGUAAAUGGCUUGUAAAACUUAAGUAUGGCAUGUAUAGCAAUAUAUUUAUUUUGUGUAAAUAAUUUUAUGAUAUGGCCAUGAUUGGUUGAGAAAAUGUUUGAUAUUGAUAAGUCAUGGUGAUGGUUAAAUUUAGAUCAUGUUUGAUA